GUUUUCCCCACGUGGCCACAGCCCCUCUUCAGGCACCGUCUUCCUCCGGACCCUUCUACGGCUCCCGAGACCGCCUCUCCAUCUCCGUUUCCGCCGAGAUCUUGCUAAGACGAAGCCGACAGACAUUACGGUCGUCCUUUUUGGAAGAAACCUUGUUACGGAGUGCACGAGAAUUACAGGCCACCAGGCACAGGGGACCAAACUGAAAGGGAAAAAAAGGUCCUUUAAUGAGCAAGCCAGGCAAGCGACCCGGGGCAGCCUAGCGCCUCAAAGAACUCCCGGCACCUGAUUUUUGGAAGUUCAGAGUUUAUAAAGGCAAAAUCCACAAAAACCACAAGAACAAUCGAGGUCCAGGGCCAUAGGGACACGGGAAGGUCCCACUGUACUGUCAACACAGAUAACAGCUGUUCCGGGGAGGCUGAAAAGACAACAUUUAAGCAAGAUACAAAGGAGUCAGGUACGGUGCUGGGCACUGAGGAGGACAAGGCUGAGUGGAGCCCGUCUCUGCCCUCAAGGUGCUCAUCACUUCUUUGUGACACUAUCUAUGGUCCAGUGGGCCUUGCGGUGUAGCCCCAGGUCCCUUCUCUGCUCUUCUGGAUAUUUGGGCCCUUCCCUGGGAGGCUAGGUCACAGCAGGGGAACAGUCAGCAGUUCUGGAGGCUGGAAUUCUGAUGUCCGGGAUCAGCACGGUCAGGCUCUGAGGAGAACCUGAGGCUAGAGGUGCCAGAAGACUCGCUCCCGUUCAUACAGCGGUGCCUUAGCUUGAGAGAAGUCUGUCAUUCACGGAGGUGUUUUGGGUGAGAAAGAUCUAAGGUCCGUGGACACUUCAGCUAACAAGAGGGGUCAAGAAGUGAAGAUUUUAUUCCGGGCAGCCCAUAACCCAACUAAAACAAUUAUGUUCUGUUACUGAGGAAGGAGGAGAGAUAGGUGAUGGGGGACAGAAGCAGCCACUGUCAUAGAGAGGAUAAAAAAAAUGAACUUGACCCAUUUGCCUACCG